rnacentral:rRNA from 1 species
AACGCGAAGAACCUUACCUGGGCUUGACAUGUUCCCGACGACGGCGGAGACGUCGUUUCCCUUCGGGGCGGGUUCACGGGUGGUGCAUGGUCGUCGUCAGCUCGUGUCGUGAGAUGUUGGGUCAAGUCCCGCAACGAGCGCAACCCUCGCCCCGUGUUGCCAGCGCGUCAUGGCGGGAACUCACGGGGGACCGCCGGGGUUAACCCGGAGGAAGGUGGGGAUGACGUCAGAUCAUCAUGCCCCUUACGUCCAGGGCUUCACGCAUGCUACAAUGGCCGGUACAGCGGGAUGCGACAUGGUGACAUGGAGCGGAUCCCUGAAAACCGGUCUCAGUUCGGAUCGGAGCCUGCAACCCGGCUCCGUGAAGGCGGAGUCGCUAGUAAUCGCGGAUCAGCAACGCCGCGGUGAAUGCGUUCCCGGGUCUUGUACACACCG